UUUUGAGUUGUGGUGACUGUUUCUAAUCAGUUUUGAUUUUUAUCUGAAUCUCAUCUACAAGCCCUACCUCAAAACUUAUUUAAGCAUUUCCAGCUUGCGAUUUUCAGUAAUGAUGAAGCUUUUAAGAGACCGACUAUCUUUCAGAUACUUUUCAGACUCUCACACUAGGGCUAUGCAGUAGAAGAUAUUUUUGGACAAGAAUUACCCUACUCCUCAGAGCAAAGGAGGCAUUCUGAAAGACGGAGUGACCUCUACUGGUGCUUACAAAGCAUGAAGAAAAAGGAACCAUUCUUCCAUGAAUUCUCCUACCAGCGCAAACAUUGCAAAUUGUUUUCUUUUGGGGUCAAAGCUUUGCCACCUGCCAUUUUGGGCUCAGAGGAAGGCUGAAAUACAUCAUUUGAGGGGUUAUACACUCGAGGUGACCCGUUGCUGUCUAGUCCUGACUUCCCUUGGGGUUCGCCUCUCUCUCCUGCCUGCCGUCAUCUCCAGCAUCCCUGUCCUCUUGGUGAGCUCCAGGUGCCUUGAGGAGAACAGAGGGGACAUUUUGCUCCAAUUACAAAUGCUGUAGCAAGGAAAGGUGAAGCAAUUAAACUAAUGCCCUCUCCAUUGCCAACUUUAUUUGUUCCUGUUUCUACGAUCCCAUUUUCCC
rnacentral:lncRNA from 1 species